rnacentral:rRNA from 1 species
UGCCAGCAGCCGCGGUAAUACGGGGGGGGCAAGCGUUGUCCGGAAUCACUGGGCGUAAAGGGCGUGUAGGCGGGAUGGUCAGUUAGAGGUGAAAACCUGCGGCUUAACCGUAGGCCUGCCUUUAAUACUGCCAUUCUUGAGUGCGAGAGGGGAAAGUGGAAUUCUUGGUGUAGCGGUGAAAUGCGUAGAUAUCAAGAAGAACACCGGUAGCGAAGGCUGCUUUCUGGCUCGUAACUGACGCUGAGGCGCGAAAGCGUGGGGAGCAAACAGGAUUAGAUA